rnacentral:rRNA from 1 species
GACGAACGCUGGCGGCGUGCUUAACACAUGCAAGUCGAGCGGAAAGGCCCUUUCGGGGGUACUCGAGCGGCGAACGGGUGAGUAACACGUGAGUAAUCUGCCCUUGGCUUUGGGAUAACCACCGGAAACGGUGGCUAAUACCGGAUACGACCACUCCCGGCAUCGGGUGGUGGUGGAAAGGUUUUUCGGCCAGGGAUGGGCUCGCGGCCGAUCCGCUUGUUGGUGGGGGAAUGGCCUACCAAGGCUUCGACGGGUAGCCGGCCUGAGAGGGUGACCGGCCACACUGGGACUGAGACACGGCCCAGACUCCUACGGGAGGCAGCAGUGGGGAAUAUUGGACAAUGGGCGGAAGCCUGAUCCAGCAACGCCGCAUGAGGGAUGACGGCCUUCGGGUUGUAAACCUCUUUCAGUACCGACGAAGCGCCGAUGAUGGCGGUGACGGUAGGUACAGAAGAAGCACCGGCCAACUACGUGCCAGCCGCCGCCGUAA